rnacentral:rRNA from 1 species
GUGCCAGCCGCCGCGGUAAUACCGGCAGCCCGAGUGAUGGCCGAUCUUAUUGGGCCUAAAGCGUCCGUAGCUGGCUGCGCAAGUCCGUCGGGAAAUCCACUCGCCCAACGAGUGGGCGUCCGACGGAAACUGCACAGCUUGGGACCGGAAGGCCUGAGGGGUACGAUCGGGGUAGGAGUGAAAUCCCGUAAUCCUGGACGGACCGCCGAUGGCGAAAGCACGUCGCGAGAACGGAUCCGACAGUGAGGGACGAAAGCCAGGGUCUCCAACCGGAUUAGAAACCCGGGUAGUCC